UUGUGAAAAGAGCCGCAGUGUCUAUAAAAAUGGUCGCCGUUUUUUUUAGCGAUGCCGACGACACCGGUAUCCCCUGUAAAAGUGGCCGCAGCGACACCCUUAUUCUUUUUUUUCUGUUUCUUUUGCUGUUGUUGACGUUUAAAUUUCAAUCGCAGAUCCCUGACGCAGCGUUAACGUGCCGAACAUGGCCAUUGAUUCAAAUACAUCCACCAUAUAACCCAUUCCAAAAUAAAACCUGUUCAAUAAUCUCUUUACCCGUCCCGUGAUUUUUUUUUAAAGUAGUAAUUUUUAAAAUUUAAGAAUUAUUUUUUAUAUAUAAAAGUUUUGCAAAUUGUAUCAUUCUCUAAUACAUUUAUAUUUUAUAGUUUAAUUUUAUAUAUAGUAACAUUAUACAUACCACAUAACAUUUUCGGUUUUA
rnacentral:sRNA from 1 species